GAUGAACGCUGGCGGCGUGCCUAAUACAUGCAAGUCGAGCGAACGGACGAGAAGCUUGCUUCUCUGAUGUUAGCGGCGGACGGGUGAGUAACACGUGGAUAACCUACCUAUAAGACUGGGAUAACUUCGGGAAACCGUAGCUAAUACCGGAUAAUAUUUUGAACCGCAUGGUUCAAAAGUGAAAGACGGUCUUGCUGUCACUUAUAGAUGGAUCCGCGCUGCAUUAGCUAGUUGGUAAGGUAACGGCUUACCAAGGCAACGAUGCAUAGCCGACCUGAGAGGGUGAUCGGCCACACUGGAACUGAGCCCCGGUCCAUACUCCUACGGGAGGCAGCAGUAGGGAAUCUUCCGCAAUGGGCGAAAGCCUGCCGGAGCAACGCCGCGUGAGUGAUGAAGGUCUUGGGAUCGUAAAACUCUGUUAUUAGGUAAGAACAUAUGUGUAAGUAACUGUGCACAUCUUGACGGUACCUAAUCAGAAAGCCACGGCUAACUACGUG
rnacentral:rRNA from 1 species